rnacentral:rRNA from 1 species
AUUGAACGCUGGCGGCAGGCCUAACACAUGCAAGUCGAACGAGUGGCGGACGGGUGAGUAAUGUCUGGGAAACUGCCCGAUGGAGGGGGAUAACUACUGGAAACGGUAGCUAAUACCGCAUACCAUCGGAUGUGCCCAGAUGGGAUUAGCUAGUAGGUGGGGUAAAGGCUCACCUAGGCGACGAUCCCUAGCUGGUCUGAGAGGAUGACCAGCCACCCUGGAACUGAAACACGGUCCAGUCUCCUACGGGAGGCAGCAGUGGGGAAUAUUGCACAAUGGGCGCAAGCCGGAUGCAGCCAUGCCGCGUGUGGGGAGAAGGCCUUCGGGUUGUAAAGCACUUGCAGCGGGGAGGCGUUACCCGCAGAAGAAGCACCGGCUAACUACGUGCCAGCCGCCGCGGUAAUUC